rnacentral:rRNA from 1 species
GAUGAACGCUGGCGGCGUGCCUAAUACAUGCAAGUCGAGCGAACAGACGAGGAGCUUGCUCCUCUGACGUUAGCGGCGGACGGGUGAGUAACACGUGGAUAACCUACCUAUAAGACUGGGAUAACUUCGGGAAACCGGAGCUAGUACCGGAUAAUAUAUUGAACCGCAUGGUUCAAUAGUGAAAGACGGUUUUGCUGUCACUUAUAGAUGGAUCCGCGCCGCAUUAGCUAGUUGGUAAGGUAACGGCUUACCAAGGCGACGAUGCGUAGCCGACCUGAGAGGGUGAUCGGCCACACUGGAACUGAGACACGGUCCAGACUCCUACGGGAGGCAGCAGUAGGGAAUCUUCCGCAAUGGGCGAAAGCCUGACGGAGCAACGCCGCGUGAGUGAUGAAGGUCUUCGGAUCGUAAAACUCUGUUAUUAGGGAAGAACAAAUGUGUAAGUAACUAUGCACGUCUUGACGGUACCUAAUCAGAAAGCCACGGCUAACUACGUG